GACGAACGCUGGCGGCGUGCCUAAUACAUGCAAGUAGAACGCUGAAGGAGGAGCUUGCUCUUCUGGAUGAGUUGCGAACGGGUGAGUAACGCGUAGGUAACCUGCCUGGUAGCGGGGGAUAACUAUUGGAAACGAUAGCUAAUACCGCAUAACAGUAGAUGUUGCAUGACAUUUGCUUAAAAGGUGCAAUUGCCUCACUACCAGAUGGACCUGCGUUGUAUUAGCUAGUUGGUGGGGUAACGGCUCACCAAGGCGACGAUACAUAGCCGACCUGAGAGGGUGGACGGCCACACUGGGAAUGGGACACGGCCCAGAAUCCUACGGGAGGCAGCAGUAGGGAAUCUUCGGCAAUGGACGGAAGUCUGACCGAGCCACGCCGGGUGAGUGAAGGAGGGUUUCGGAUCGUAAAGCUCUGUUGUAAGAGAAGAAAGAGUGUGAGAGUAGAAAGUUCACACUGUGACGGUAUCUUACCAGAAAGGGACGGCUAACUACGUG
rnacentral:rRNA from 1 species